CUGCAGACCAGACAGCUUAAGUGAUAUACCCAAAGUCACCCAAGAUCAACCUGUUUAGUGACCUGCAGGACUAGCGUCUAGGCCUUGGGACAUACCGACCCAUCUGUUCUAUGCUCAAUGGUUAAAACGGACCAGAGCAAACAAAUGACUUCAUUACAUGAACAACUAAGAAAAUUAUCCUUGCACUGGAAUCCACUCAAAGGUAAUUGUAUGCUUUUCAAAUGUGGCUUUGAGAAACUUGCUGAUCUUAAAAAAUAGAGACCUGACUGGGCGCGGUGGCUCAAGCCUGUAAUCCCAGCAUUUUGGGAGGCCGAGGCGGGUGGAUCAUGAGGUCAAGAGAUCGAGACCAUCCUGGUCAACAUGGUGAAACCCUGUCUCUACUAAAAAUACAAAAAAUUAGCUGGGCAUGGUGGCGCAUGCCUGUAAUCCCAGCUACUCAGGAGGCUGAGGCAGGAGAAUUGCCUGGACCCAGGAGGCGGAGGUUGUGGUGAGCCGAGAUCGCGCCAUUGCACUCCAGCCUGGGUAACAAGAGUGAAACUCCGUCUCAAAAAAAUAAAUAAAUAAAAAUAAAAAAUAGAGACCUAGGUGGACAUUCAAGAUAGCAUCAAGAAACGAAGACUUUUAUGGAAGUCAAAAUCAGCAAAAAUCUCUUCAAAAUAGGAAGCUGGAUCAGAUUAAGUAUGACAGUAAGAGUCUAAGUGUGUUUGUUGAAUGAGUGCUCUUGGCAACCCAAGCUCGUGGGAAUACCAGGAGGUUUACAGCUUCAUGUUCCAUUCUGUGCAAAGGAAGUUCUCCUGCCAUGAUGAAUAAUGGGUCCAGGGUUUGGUUCAUUCUUUCCAUCUAGAACAUUCUUUUCUCCUGGCUGCUCUUCCCAGUUUGACUGCCUCUCAGUUCCAUUUACCACGACCCCCUUCAUGUGUAGUUUAUCCAGAUUUUACUCAUUCAUGAGCUUAAGGGGAAAUGCGAGAGGGAGUCACGCAGGACAAUUGCCCUCAGACCUUGCACCCUACCUGGAGAUUUUGAAAUGACCAUGGAGGUGCAUGACUGUGGAUAUACACAAAACCCCGGAUGGAUCACUGGCCGUGCUAGAGACCACACAAAAACCCAAGGAAGCUCCUAGCACUAAUUACCUUAUACACGAGGCUCAACUGGGAACUGCCCAUAUGCAGGAAAUCCGAUUAAAUUCAAUAAGCAAUGAGGAGUCCUUGAAGGUCUUGAGCAGCUGAGUAACAUGCACCUGCAUGAAGCUCUGCUCAUGGGAGGCACAACCAAUUUGUUGGCUGAUUGAUUCUGUGGUGGAGGCAGAGGGGGGAUAUCUGUGGAAUGAAUCUGUAUCUACUGGAACAGACCAUCUGUGCCACCCACCCCAGAAGAGAAGCAACCACAAGCUGGAGUAGCGCAGCAUUGGCCAUAGGUAAAUUACAAAACGGAGUUUAUCCCAAUGCUCCCCACCUGCUAACCAUCACCCCUUCCCACCUCUGGGCACCCCUGCAUUGACCAGUUCUCAGGCCUGACCUCAAUUCUGACCCUGCACCCUGGCAGGCCAAGGGCCUCAGCGGUCAUAAUGAAGGUGGAAACUCAGACUUUCAAAAUUGCCGGAACAGUCAGUCAUCCCUGGCUUCUGUAAGGGGCCCAAACCUUCCUUCCUCCCACCUCCAAAAGAGGUUACAUUCUCCAGCUUAACCUGAGGUGUACAACAGAGAAAACGGGCAAGAGCACAGCAGGUUACAAAGAACCACCUGCAGCCUGCCACACCCAGGCUCCCACAGUGAGAAAGAAAAGUGCCACCUACCCCAGCAUGGUGAGCCAGCCAGUGGGAAGGCUCCCACUCCUCCCCAGCAGGACAACACGAACACCGCAAUGGAUCUGCUUGCCCGGGGGAAAGGAGGUUGCAGGGGCAGCUCCUAUCAAAGCUGCCGACCCUGGUCCCGAGUGCUCAAGAGGAAGAGGACUAGGCCCCGUGAAGGACGUCCCCUCCUGCUGUCCACUCCCCUCAUUUCAGGAUUCCCACCACAGAGCCCACAACACUUCAAAG